CAAACAUCAGCAGCUGUAAACACUCAUCAAAACAUUAGAAAUACAGACGCUGGUUUGAUGCAGCACCCUAACAUACGUGGAUUAUUGAACAUUUAUAAUUAUCAGAGAAAGUUACAUCAUUUUUGGUGCCUGUCAGUUUCCCAGUAUAAAUUAGUGCAUAUUUGAAUGUGUGGAUGAAACGCAUGAACUCAAAGAACUUUGUAGAAAGGCGCUUCAUGAAGUUCAGUCCUUUCACAUUCAUUAGUUUACAGCACAGAUCUGACUCCAAUAUGGCGGAUGCGCUGACCAUUGGUUAUCCUCCAGCCCACGUGACCGCGCAGCAACAAACCACAGCAGAGCGGGAAGGAGGGGGCGGGGUGGGGCGGAGCUGAGGAAAAGAAGUGAACUUAGAGGAGAAACAAACUAAACCAUCGAUCCAACAUCAUCACCAACGUUUGUAUCGAUACUAUUGAUACUUGGAUCGAUCCGCGCACCCUGAUCUCCUGGAUCUGACCUGAGAACAGCAUUAAUCUCUCUCUGUGGGCUCAGCUAAAGGACCAACAUGGAGCGAGAAGUCAGCACUCUCAAGAGGCUGACAAACCUCACAGAAGGAAGGGAUGAAAAAAAUACACCUGUGAUCAGUGUGGGAAGGAUUUAACUACUAAGACUUUGUUAAAAAGACACCAAGUCAUCCACACUGGAGAGAAGCCAUUUAGCUGUGACUUGUGUGGAAAGUCUUUUACCCGGGCUGGAAGCUUAAAAACACACCAACUCAUCCAUAGUGGAGAGAAACCGUACAGCUGUGAUCAGUGUGGGAAAGCUUUCACUCAGAGUAGUAGCUUAAAGAGUCAUCAAGUUACCCACUCUGGAAUUAAGGCAUACAGCUGUGACUAUUGUGGAAAAACUUUCAGUCUGCUACAGAGCAGAAAUAGACACCUACGCAUUCACACUGGACAUGAUGUGUACAGCUGUGAUCAGUGUGGCAAAAAGUUUGGAACAGAUGCACAGUUAAAAUCCCACAUGUUUACCCACACUGAGGAGAGACCUCAUAAAUGUGACCUGUGCAAUAAGACGUUUAAAGCUCCACAGAACCUGAGAAAACACCAACAGAUCCACAGCAGAAAGAGACUCUACAAGUGCAGUUACUGUGAGAAGCAGAGCCACACAGAUGGAUCCAGUUCUCAGCCCUGUCAUCGCUGUGGUGUGGGAAAGCGUUUCUCUGUGACCUUUGUGGGAAACUUUCGGUCAGCAAAAGAACCUAAAAUACAUCAGCGUAGACACACUGGACACAAACUGAA